GUUUUAAUAGUUUUUCAACAAAACGUCGGUCUUGUAAACCGGAAAUAAGAUGUGCCCCUUUUAAAACU
rnacentral:tRNA from 1 species